UACGUAGGGUGCGAGCGUUGUCCGGAAUUCUUGGGCGUAAAGAGCUCGUAGGCGGUUUGUCACGUCUGCUGUGAAAUCCCGAGGCUCAACCUCGGGCCUGCAGUGGGUACGGGCAGACUGGAGUGCGGUAGGGGAGAAUGGAAUUCCUGGUGUAGCGGUGGAAUGCGCAGAUAUCAGGAGGAACACCGAUGGCGAAGGCAGUUCUCUGGGCCGUAACUGACGCUGAGGAGCGAAAGCGUGGGGAGCGAACAGG
rnacentral:rRNA from 1 species